GCUAGGGUGAGUCAUCGAAUCUUUGAACGCACAUUGCGCCCGCUAGUAUUCUAGCGGGCAUGCCUGUCCGAGCGUCAUUUCAACCCCUCAAGCCCGGCUUGGUGUUGGGGCCCUGCGGCUGCCGCAGGCCCUGAAAGGAAGUGGCGGGCCCGCAGCGACUCCGAGCGUAGUAGAAGCCUAUUCUCGCUAGGGAGGACGCGGCGGCGCCCCUGCCGUUAAAGCUGCAAACAAGCAACUCCAAAGGUUGACCUCGGAUCAGGUAGGAAUACCCGCUGAACUUAAGCAUAUCAAUAAGCGGAG
rnacentral:misc_RNA from 1 species